GGUAUUUGAAGAUGCGGUUGACCAUGCUGUGUACGCUUUAUUUAUGACGUAGGACACAUGGUCUACUUCUCCUCAAUAUC
rnacentral:pre_miRNA from 1 species